GAGAAAUCAAAAACAAAACAAAUGUGAAUUGAUCCCGUCGUAAUCGAUUCAAAUAAAUAUUAAUUGAGAAGAUUUUGCGGAAAUCAGAAGUAUGGAGGAUUCGCCGAAAACCCAAGUGCCUGCGUGUGACACACUGGAGGAAGACUUCCGAAAAGUAGAGUUCCUGGAGUCG